rnacentral:rRNA from 1 species
GACGAACGCUGGCGGUGGGCUUAACACAUGCAAGUCGAACGGCAAGGCCCUGAUUGUGUGGGGUGACCGAGUGGCGAACGGGUGAGUAACACGUGAGCAACCUGCCCUAGAUUUUGGGAUAACUUAAGGAAACUGGGGCUAAUAUCGUAUAGGAGAUCCUGCAGCAUGGUGGGGGUGGGAUAGUCUAGGCGGUUGGGGAUGGAUGCGCGGCUGACGAGUUAGCUGGUGGGCUAGGGGCUGACCAAGGCAUGGACGGAUAGCCGGCCGGGGAGGGUGGCCGGCCACAUUAGUACUGAGGUACGGCCCAGACUCCUACGGUAGGCAGCAGUGGGGAAUAUUGCACAAUGGGCGGGAGCGUGUGACAACAACGCCGCGUGCGGGAUGACGGCCUGCGGGUUGAAAACCGCAUUCGCCUAUUACGAAGCGUGAGUGACGGUAAUGGGUAAAGAAGCACCGGCUAACUUCGUG